rnacentral:rRNA from 1 species
UACGUAGGGGGCAAGCGUUGUCCGGAAUCAUUGGGCGUAAAGAGCGUGUAGGCGGCCUGAUAAGUCGGCUGUGAAAGUCAAGGGCUCAACCCUUGAAUGCCGGCCGAUACUGUCAGGCUGGAGUCCGGAAGAGGCGAGUGGAAUUCCUGGUGUAGCGGUGAAAUGCGCAGAUAUCAGGAGGAACACCUAUGGCGAAGGCAGCUCGCUGGGACGGUACUGACGCUGAGACGCGAAAGCGUGGGGAGCGAACAGG